UUUUUAUAGCCACAAAACUGACGUUACCUAGAAAGGUUUUAUAUUCAUCCGUAACUUCUUUGCAACACACGUGGCUUUCUCUUGCCAACGUAUCGCACACGUUCCUGAUGGUAAGUCUGUCUCUGUUCAUGUUGCUGGCGUUCCUCGCCUCCCUCCCUUGUCUGAUACUGGUUCUGUCUCUACAGCGCGUAGUGUACGUGUCACUGCUGGUGUCCAUGUCUUUUGUUGGUUUGCUGCUCUUCAUCUUCCUAAUGCAGAUAUUCUCCAAAUAGUGGUGUGGUCAAACUUGCAGUGCAGGAUUGGGCUACAGUUUGUCUUUGGUCUGCCGAUCCUCAGGACCAUUUUUGGCUUCGUUGGAAUUGAAUGGCUCGGAAAAAAAGUAGAGACUUUUAUGUCAUUUGCAGAUGUUGGGUCUAAGUUAGUGUUUGGUCUCAGUUACAACGACCACUUCUUCAUCUUCAAGAUUGGUCUCGGAUGCAGGUUACCAUGGCAACAUCUCCAGCCGAAUCGAUGGCUGCUGCUGGAAAUGUAUUCUUGGAACAGACAGUGUCACCUCUCCUUAUUCGUCCAUGCAUCAGUGGACUAACUUGCUCUGAGAUCCCUGCUGUGAUGACAGCAGGUUUUGCCAGCGUCUCUGGUGUUUUGGGAGCCUUUAUCUUCUUUUUCUGUAAAUAUUUACUUUGAGAAGGAGUUAAUAAUCAGCUUUAUUUGAUUAUCUAAUAUACAAGCUUUGCCAAGGUAACACAACUGUGUUAAAUAAUGUAAUGAUUAAUCACCUUACUGUGAGACCCCCAAAUAAUAUUUAGAGGGAUGAUGUCUUACUCAACAGCAGCUCACCUACAGAUAUCCCCAGUUAUUCUCAGUAAUGUAUUGUAUUUAACGGGAAAGUCCAUAAAUAAAUACAACAUGUUUAGCAGUGAAUAAA
ensembl:lncRNA